rnacentral:rRNA from 1 species
CGAUAGCGCGGUGGUCCCACCUGACCCCAUGCCGAACUCAGAAGUGAAACGCCGUAGCGCCGAUGGUAGUGUGGGGCUUCCCCAUGUGAGAGUAGGGAACUGCCAGGC